rnacentral:rRNA from 2 species
GGUGAGUUUAGUCAACACGUGGGCAACCUACCYUAUAGUUUGGGAUAACUCCGGGAAACCGGGGCUAAUAUUAGUCCCGAAUAAUCUAUGUCACCUCAUGGUGACCUGAAAGACGGUUUCGGCUGUCGCUAUAGGAUGGGCCCGCGGCGCAUUAGCUAGUUGGUGAGGUAAUGGCUCACCAAGGCGACGAUGCGUAGCCGAGAGAGGGUGAUCGGCCACACUGGGAAGACACGGCCCAGACUCCUACGGGAGGCAGCAGUAGGGAAUCUUCCACAAUGGGCGAAAGCCUGAUGGAGCAACGCCGCGUGAGUGAAGAAGGUUUUCGGAUCGUAAAACCCAGUCAUCUGUUGUAAGGGAAGAACAAGUACAGUAGUAACUGGCUGUACCUUGGUACCUUAUUAGAAAGCCACGGCUAACUACGUCCAGCCGCGGUAAUACGUAGGUGGCAAGCGUUGUCCGGAAUUAUUGGGCGUAAAGCGCGCGCAGGCGGUCCUUUAAGUCUGAUGUGAAAGCCCACGGCUCAACCGUGGAGGGUCAUUGGAAACUGGGGGACUUGUGCAGAAGAGGAAAGUGGAAUUCCAAGUGUAGCGGUGAAAUGCGUAGAGAUUUGGAGGAACACCAGUGGCGAAGGCGACUUUCUGGUCUGUAACUGACGCUGAGGCGCGAAAGCGUGGGGAGCAAGGAUUAGAUACCCUGGUAGUCCACGCCGUAAACGAUGAGUGCUAAGUGUUAGGGGGUUUCCGCCUUUGCUGCAGCUAACGCAUUAAGCACUCCGCUUAGUCCUGGGGAGUACGGUGAUCAGUCGCAAGACUGAAACUCAAAGGAAUUGACGGGGGCCCGCACAAGCGGUGGAGCAUGUUAAUUCGAAGCAACGCGAAGAACCUUACCAGGUCUUGACAUCCCGUUGACCACUGUAGAGAUAUAGUUUCGGACUGCCCUUCGGGGGCAACGGUGACAUGGUUGUCGUCAGCUCGUGUCGUGAGGUUGGGUUAAGUCCCGCAACGAGCGCAACCCUUGAUCUUAGUUGCCAUCAUUUAGUUGGGCACUCUAAGGUGACUGCCGGAUAAACCGGAGGAAGGUGGGGAUGACGUCAAAUCAUCAUGCCCCUUAUGACGGCUACACACGUGCUACAAUGGACGAUACAAACGGU